GAUCAGGGUUCGAUUCCGGAGAGGGAGCCUGAGAAACGGCUACCACAUCCAAGGAAGGCAGCAGGCGCGCAAAUUACCCAAUCUAGACAGUAGGAGGUGGUGAAGAGAAGUACUUAGUGGUGGCCAAAUGGUCCCAACUAGGAAUGAACGUAAUUUAAGCAAUUCGAUGAGUAACUACUGGAGGGCAAGUCCUGGUGCCAGCAGCCGCGGUAAUUCCAGCUCCAGUGGCGUGAUUUAAAGUUGCUGCGUUUAAAACGCUCGUAGUUGGAUCACGCAGUGGCAUACAGUAACAUGAAUCGUGUUUUUUGACGAUUUUCUUCAACGAGAUUAUUGAAAUUGAGCCGGUUUGUGUGUUUACGCUGUAUGUCACUAUUUGCACACAAGUAUGGUAUUUGGUCUUAAGUGUAUCGAGUAUCAUGUCUUGUGGAGUGUGCCUUGAAUAAAACAGAGUGCUCAAAGCAGGCGAACGCUUGAAUGUUAUAGCAUGGAACGAACAAACGUGUAUUUGCACGUACUUGAGCGGUUGGGGGCAACUUUGACUGCUUAGGUAUGUGCAGCACCCGCCAAAAUACGGAUGUUGGUUUUCGUAUCAGGUGAUGAUUAACAGGAGCGGUUGGGGGCAUUGGUAUUUGGCCGCGAGAGGUGAAAUUCUUGGACCGGCCAAGGACUAACAGAUGCGAAGGCGUUUGUCUAGACCGUUUCCAUUAAUCAAGAACGAAAGUGGGAGGUUCGAAGACGAUCAGAUACCGUCCUAGUUCCCACUAUAAACUAUGCCGACCUGGGAUCAGUUUAGUGAUUAACAAGCUCUAGGUUGGUCCCCCUGGGAAACCUCAAGUUUUUCGGUUACGGGGAGAGUAUGGUCGCAAGUCUGAAACUUAAAGGAAUUGACGGAAGGGCACCACCAGGGGUGGAGCCUGCGGCUUAAUUUGACUCAACACGGGGAAACUUACCUGGUCCGGACAUCGAAAGGAUAGACAGACUGAUAGAUCUUUCUUGAUGCGGUGAGUGGUGGUGCAUGGCCGUUCUUAGUUCGUGGAGUGAUCUGUCAGGUUUAUUCCGGUAACGAACGAGACCACCUUCUCCAUUUAAGAAACAGUAGCAGGGCGUUGACUUAGUGUUACUUCGGUGGCAUUUGGUUGAUUCUCGCAGGUAGAAUUGUUAAAUUCCAUGGAUGUAAUGCAGGAGGUUCGCUGAAUGUGUUGCAUCUGUGAAAGGAGAUGAUUUUCCCUACUGUUAUGCAGUGUUGGGCAAAACCCAUACGCUGCCUUAUGGAGAGACAACAGGUUUAUAAAAGCCUGAGGAAGUGUGGCUAUAACAGGA
rnacentral:rRNA from 1 species